AUUGAACGCUGGCGGCAUGCUUUACACAUGCAAGUCGAACGAGUGGCGAACGGGUGAGUAAUAUAUCGGAACGUAACGAGUAAUGGGGGAUAACCACACGAAAGAUUGGCUAAUACCGCAUAUUAUUCGAGCGGUCGAUACCUGCUUGGCUCGUUGGUGGGGUAAAGGCCUACCAAGGCGACGAGCAGUAGCGGGUCUGGGAGGACGCUCCGCCACACUGGGACUGUGACACGGCCAAGACUCCUACGGGAGGCAGCAGUGGGGAAGUUUGGACAAUGGGGGCAACCCGGAUCCAGCCCUGCCGCGUGUAUGAAGAAGGCCUUCGGGUUGUAAAGGACUUUUGUUAGGUGAGCGGUACCUAAAGAAUAAGCACCGGCUAACUACGUGCCAGCCGCCGCGGUAAUUC
rnacentral:rRNA from 1 species